rnacentral:rRNA from 1 species
UGGGGAAUUUUGGACAAUGGGCGAAAGCCUGAUCCAGCAAUGCCGCGUGUGUGAAGAAGGCCUUCGGGUUGUAAAGCACUUUUGUCCGGAAAGAAAUCCUUGGCUCUAAUACAGUCGGGGGAUGACGGUACCGGAAGAAUAAGCACCGGCUAACUACGUGCCAGCAGCCGCGGUAAUACGUAGGGUGCAAGCGUUAAUCGGAAUUACUGGGCGUAAGCGUGCGCAGGCGGUUUGCUAAGACCGAUGUGAAAUCCCCGGGCUCAACCUGGGAACUGCAUUGGUGACUGGCAGGCUAGAGUAUGGCAGAGGGGGGUAGAAUUCCACGUGUAGCAGUGGAAUGCGUAGAGAUGUGGAGGAAUACCGAUGGCGAAGGCAGCCCCCUGGGCCAAUACUGACGCUCAUGCACGAAAGCGUGGGGAGCAAACAGGAUUAGAUACCCUGGUAGUCCACGCCCUAAACGAUGUCAACUAGUUGUUGGGAUUCAUUCUUAGUAACGUAGCUAACGCGUGAAGUUGACCGCCUGGGGAGUACGGUCGCAAGAUUAAAACUCAAAUGAAUUGACGGGGUCAUAGCUGUUUCCU